rnacentral:rRNA from 1 species
GACGAACGCUGGCGGCGUGCUUAACACAUGCAAGUCGAACGGAAAGGCCCUGCUUUUGUGGGGUGCUCGAGUGGCGAACGGGUGAGUAACACGUGAGUAACCUACCCUUGACUUUGGGAUAACUUCAGGAAACUGGGGCGAAUACCGGAUAGGAGCUCCUGCUGCAUGGUGGGGGUUGGAAAGUUUCGGCGGUUGGGGAUGGACUCGCGGCUUAGCAGCUUGUUGGUGAGGUAGUGGCUUACCAAGGCUUUGACGGGUAGCCGGCCUGGGAGGGUGACCGGCCACCUUGGGACUAAGAUACGGCCCAGACUCCUACGGGAGGCAGCAGUGGGGAAUAUUGCACAAUGGGCGGAAGCCUGAUGCAGCAACGCCGCGUGCGGGAUGACGGCCUUCGGGUUGUAAACCGCUUUCGCCUGUGACGAAGCGUGAGUGACGGUAAUGGGUAAAGAAGCACCGGCUAACUACGUG